AUGCGUUCCAUUAGAUAGUAGGCGGGGUAACGGCCCACCUAGUCUUCGAUGGAUAGGGGUUCUGAGAGGAAGGUCCCCCACAUUGGAACUGAGACACGGUCCAAACUCCUACGGGAGGCAGCAGUGAGGAAUAUUGGUCAAUGGGCGAGAGCCUGAACCAGCCAAGUAGCGUGAAGGAUGACUGCCCUAUGGGUUGUAAACUUCUUUUAUAAAGGAAUAAAGUCGGGUAUGGAUACCCGUUUGCAUGUACUUUAUGAAUAAGGAUCGGCUAACUCCGUGCCAGCAGCCGCGGUAAUACGGAGGAUCCGAGCGUUAUCCGGAUUUAUUGGGUUUAAAGGGAGCGUAGAUGGAUGUUUAAGUCAGUUGUGAAAGUUUGCGGCUCAACCGUAAAAUUGCAGUUGAUACUGGAUAUCUUGAGUGCAGUUGAGGCAGGCGGAAUUCGUGGUGUAGCGGUGAAAUGCUUAGAUAUCACGAAGAACUCCGAUUGCGAAGGCAGCCUGCUAAGCUGCAACUGACAUUGAGGCUCGAAAGUGUGGGUAUCAAACAGGAUUAGAUACCCUGGUAGUCCACACGGUAAACGAUGAAUACUCGCUGUUUGCGAUAUACGGCAA
rnacentral:rRNA from 1 species